AUGGUUCCCCACAUCCAACAUAUGUUUCAGAAUCAUCUUUUACUACCCGCAAAAAAAGGAAUCAUCGUUUACUUUAUUAAUUCCUGCCAUUUGUCUUCAUAUUUAAGUCUUGUUUGCCUAAUAUACUGCGAAAUCAGCAUUGUUGAAUCCUUGGAUAAAGGUAACAAUAUAUAUUGUUUUAUUUUCUACAGUUGUUCCAAGGAAAACAACAGUUCUGUUGCAAUAGUUCUUUUAAGGUUGUACAUGAUAGUAUGUACCCGGAGAACGCAGGCCGUGCCGGUGAUUUGGGAGAUUUGGCGUGAGCGCAAUUGCCGCAUUUUUCACAAUUUGGAUUCGUCGGCUGCUAUGCUUACAUGCCUUGUCGUUGACGAAGCCAAUGUUGGAAGGAGGCUGACACACCACACAUCAUUUUGUGAUAGUAAUCUAUCUUAG
rnacentral:rRNA from 1 species